rnacentral:rRNA from 1 species
GUGGGGAAUCUUCCGCAAUGGACGAAAGUCUGACGGAGCGACGCCGCGUGAGUGAAGAAGGCCUUCGGGUCGUAAAGCUCUGUCAUCAGGGACGAACGGCCGGUGGAGUGGAAAGCCACCGGAUUGACGGUACCUGAGAAGGAAGCCACGGCUAACUACGUGCCAGCAGCCGCGGUAAUACGUAGGUGGCAAGCGUUGUCCGGAAUUAUUGGGCGUAAAGCGCGCGCAGGUGGGAUCUUAAGUCCAUUUUUAAAGUUCGGAGCUCACCUCCGUGAUGGGAUGGAAACUGGGAUUCUUGAGUACCGGAGAGGAAAGCGGAAUUCCCCGUGUAGCGGUGAAAUGCGUAGAUAUGGGGAGGAACACCAGUGGCGAAGGCGGCUUUCUGGACGGUGUCUGACACUGAGGCGCGAAAGCCAGGGGAGCGAACGGGAUUAGAUACCCCUGUAGUCC